AUGCGGUCGCCGGUGACGACGGGGACGACCACCACGGGUGCUAUGAGGCCACCACGGGUGCUACGAGGCCACCACUGGUGCCGGCCUCGGCGACCAUCGGCGCCGCAAGCAGAGCAGCAACGCAUGCGUGCGGAGAUAGGCCGAACUUCCACGAUGAGGUGCCAUGACUUGAUUCAACCGGCGGCUACCGGAUUUGUACCCCCGGGUUGGUGGAGCUGCAGCCACGGUGACGAGGAGCUGCAUCCGGCGAUGAUUUUUGCUGGAAGUAGUUGUUUUGUUUGCUACAAUCGACACAUAUUUUUUGGUGAUGAGAUUAUUUUGCUGGAACCACCAUUAAUUUUUGCUGGAGCUGCCUUUUUUUGUUGCUACAAUCCACUAGUAGUGUUUUUGCUCUUGAGACUUUUUUACUGGAACCAGUGAUUUGUUUUGCUGGAACUGACUUUUGUUUUUGCUACAAUCGACCUUUUUCAGAUUUGUUCUUCAGAGAAUAUUUUUUGCUGGAAACAUCUUUGCUACUACCAUAGUCUGCUUUUGCUAGAACCAGCAUUUUCAAAGGAUCCAACGGGCGGUGAUGCAGAGCUACCUUGGGUAAUUUUGUUGCAAGCGUUGACGGCGAGCAUCGGCGGUGAGCCUCGACGGCAAGCAUUUUUUGCUACGACCAUAGUCUAUUUUUGGUACCACCAUAGUCUGUUUUUGUUUGGGCAAAUAGCUCCCAUGCGACAUCUUUGAGUUGAAUUGUCUCUCAUGCGACGUCGUUGGUUGUAAUGGCUCUCAUGCGACGUCUCCCAGCGCAGAAAUAGCUCAAGCAAGACAACCCGUUUACGCGGCUAGUUGGCUGUUAGUUAGGCUGAGGUUUGGUUAGGACACCGGGGGUUAUGUGCUCUGAUUGGUGGGGUCCACCUAGGGCCACGUAGUCAAGAGUCAACCGUCCACGACUCGACCGGUGACUGUGUGAUCUUGCUCGACUCGCCCGUGCUGGACUGGGCGAGCGGCGCCAUCGUAAGCAUCUUCUCCGGCAGCGGUUUCUUCUCCGCGGUGGUGGAGCGCAUUUCUCGGUAGCGGCAGAGCUAUUGCGAGUGAGCCCGAAACCCUAGUCCCACUCCCCAGAAUUUUGGGGGAUCUGUGGCCUCAUGCUGCCCCUCUGUUUCUUGGCGAUUUAGCAUCUCGAUUGGAUCCGGGGCUGUUUCUUCUCCGCGGCCCGCCCGGUGGUGGAGCGCCUUUCUCGGCAGCGGCUAUUGCGAGUGAGUAUUUUCCAAACUCUAGUCCCAUUCCCCAAAAUUUUGGAUAAAUCUGUGGCCUCAUGCUGCCCCUGUUUCUUGACAUUUUAGAAUCUCGAUUGGAUAGGAGCGUGGGGGCUGAAUGAGAUGGAGCGAGGAGACAGUGCUUCAAAUCGGUUUUGCCACCACAUUCGCAAUUAUAGUGGAAUUUUUUCCCUGUAAAGCCAGCUCAGUGAUGGCAGUGUCCAAGACAUUGAUAGAGACACCACCGUGAGGUUGGAUGUCGAAUUUGCAGAUGUUGAUCCCCAGGAAUUGGAGAGCAUGAAGGAGAAGGCCGUGGGCAAUUUGGUGGAGAGAAGUGGGGAGAGUAUUGUUUGGGGUCCAGAACAAGAGGUAUCUCUGCAACGUUUCGAUAACUAUAAUGGUGAAUAUGUGAGAAUUGAAGAUGGAGAAUCCAUGGUUGCUGAAAUUGAUCAGCAAGAAGGGUGGGCAAGCAAACAAGUAACAUUUUAUGCUGAGCUAAUUGAUCUGCAAACUCAUUGCAGAGUUGGUUAUGUGCCAUCAAAGAUGGUUGCACAGGUGGAAGAUAAUGAGUGAGUUUCACAAAAGAAGAUGUUGGCAUUGUUGACUGAACCGACUGUAGUAGCUGAAGAUACAGGGAUUGAUGCAGAUGGAGAGGAGGGAACCCAUGGUGCUAGGAAGAUUGUUGUUGACUGGAAUGUAGUAGAGUUGAAUGAAAAAACAGAUUUGGUCAUUACACCAAUAUCUGACAUUGAUAUGGCCGAAAUGUUUGGCAUUCAAGUUGAUGACAAAGAUAAGGAGAAGCAUGACAGUUCUUUGCCUGCUGAUGGUAACACAUGCCCUAGAAAUGCAAAUGAGGAUGAAGAAGAGCUGAUGAGAGAGGCUACAGAUGAUGUGGAUGAUGCAGAUGAUAAUGAGCUGGUUUGUUUGUAUGACAAAGAGAACCCAGUUAUUGAGGUGGGAAAGUUGUGGCCAAGCAUGAAGGAGUUUAGGAUGUCUUUCAGGACCUAUGCAGUGAAAAAAGAGUUUGAUGCCAAGACUAUGUGGACUGAUCGAAAGAAAUUUUAUGCUCGGUGCAAAGGUUAUGAUGGUGGUGGCAAUCCUUGCAAAUGGUAAUUGUCUGCCAGACUACAACCUGAUGGAAGUACAGUAAGGGUAAAUCAAAUACCACACCAGCAUACAUGUAUGACCACUUCACAGAGAGUUUCAAAGAUGACAUCACAACUUUGGGUUACAGAGAAGAUUACUCCUAUUUUAGCCAAGACUCCAAACACUACUGCAAAGAGGCUUAAAGUUGACUUGGAGAAGCUGUACCCCAUCCAGCUGCAAUAUACCACAGUGUGGAAAGCAAAACAAAGGGCCAUGAAAUCAUUGUAUGGUGACUGGGCAAAUACAUUUAGGAUGUUGUAUAGUUUUAAAGCAGAGGUGGAGAAGAGGUCACCUGGAAGUGUGGUGGAGAUAGAUACAGAGGUAACAGAGGAUGGCAAGGUUUUAUUCAGCAAGUUUUUUAUGUGUUUGAAGCCUUGCAUAGAUGGAUUCAAAGCAGGUUGUCGUCCAUAUUUGAGCAUAGACUCAUCUUUUUUGACUGGAAAGUGGAAUGGUCAGUUGGCUGCAUGCAAUACUCUAGAUGGACACAACUGGAUGUUCCCAAUUGCAAUAGCACUACUAGAAAAAGGCCUACUAAUGGCGCACCUAAUCUGGCCAUUAAUGGCGCAUUAGUGGUGCACCAUUAGUAGCACGCCAUUAGUAUAUUUU
rnacentral:rRNA from 1 species